rnacentral:rRNA from 1 species
AUUGAACGCUGGCGGCAGGCCUAACACAUGCAAGUCGAACGCGUGGCGGACGGGUGAGUAAUGUCUGGGAAACUGCCUGAUGGAGGGGGAUAACUACUGGACACGGUAGCUAAUAACGCAUACCAUCGGAUGUGCCCAGAUGGGAUUAGCUAGUAGGGGGGGUAAAGGCUCACCUAGGCGACGCGCCCUAGCUGGUCUGAGAGGAUGACCAGCCCAACGGGAACUGAGACACGGUCCAGACUCCUACGGGAGGCAGCAGUGGGGAAUAUUGCACAAUGGGCGCAAGCCUGAUGCAGCCAUGCCGCUUGUGUGAAGAAGGCCUUCGGGUUGUAAAGCACUUUCAGCGGGGAGGCGUUACCCGCAGAAGAAGCACCGGCUAACUCCGUGCCAGCCGCCGCGGUAAUAC